rnacentral:piRNA from 1 species
UACUGUUUGCUUCUUUUUUGA